AUUGAACGCUGGCGGCAGGCCUAACACAUGCAAGUCGAGCGGGAACUUCGGUUCUAGCGGCGGACGGGUGAGUAAUGCGUAGGAAGCUACCCGACAGAGGGGGAUACCAGUUGGAAACGACUGUUAAUACAGCAUAAUGUCUACGGACCAAAGUGUGGGACCUUCAGUCCACAUGCUGUCGGAUGCGCCCACGUGGGGAUAGCUAGUUGGUGGGGGAAUGGCUCACCAGGGCGGCGAUCCCUAGGUGGUUGGAGAGGAUGAUCAGCCACACUGGUACUGGAAAACGGUCCAGAAUCCUACGGGAGGGAGCAAUGGGGAAUAUUGGACAAGGGGCGAAAGCCUGAUGCAGGCAUGGCGUGUUUGUGAAGAAGGCCUUCGGGUUGUAAAGCACUUUCAGUAGGGAGGAAGAGUUGGGUGUUAAUAGUACUCAGCUUUGACGUUACCUACAGAAGAAGCACCGGCUAACUCUGUGCCAGCCGCCGCCGUAAAAC
rnacentral:rRNA from 1 species